rnacentral:piRNA from 1 species
UACUAUUGCUGUGAGGAGCCGCCAUGACC